rnacentral:rRNA from 1 species
UACGUAGGUCCCGAGCGUUGUCCGGAUUUAUUGGGCGUAAAGCGAGCGCAGGUGGUUUAUUAAGUCUGGUGUAAAAGGCAGUGGCUCAACCAUUGUAUGCAUUGGAAACUGGUAGACUUGAGUGCAGGAGAGGAGAGUGGAAUUGCAUGUGUAGCGGUGAAAUGCGUAGAUAUAUGGAGGAACACCGGUGGCGAAAGCGGCUCUCUGGCCUGUAACUGACACUGAGGCUCGAAAGCGUGGGGAGCAAACAGG